GCUUACGGCAACACACCCCUGAGUGCGUCCGAUCUUGAAAGCUAAGCAGGGUUGGGUCUGGUUAGUACUUGGAUGGGAGACCGCCUGGGAAUACCAGAUGCUGUAAGUU
rnacentral:rRNA from 1 species